rnacentral:rRNA from 1 species
GAAUACGUUCCCGGGCCUUGUACACACCGCCCGUCACACCAUGGGAGUUUGUUGCACCAGAAGUAGCUAGCCUAACUGCAAAGAGGGCGGUUACCACGGUGUGGCCGAUGACUGGGGUGAAGUCGUAACAAGGUAGCCGUAGGGGAACCUGCGGCUGGAUCACCUCCUUAACGAA